AAAGACCUAUUUUAUUUGGUCUUUCAUUUAGACUCUUCUCUUUUGGGUGGACCUGGGACCUGUGCUUGAGCUAGCUUGUCUGAUAGAUGGACUUUGGACCAACAGUGUAGUUUGUAUCCAGCCCUAUUUCCUCUAGCUCCUGAUCAGAUUCUCUGGAUGAUCCCUGUGCCUGAUUCGUCUCCCACCAUGUCUGGGAUGACUGAUGGACCUUGUCAUAAGCACGCAGCUCUGCCUGCCAUGUUCAGAUGUUGUGGGGUUGUGUGCUGGUUGGUGAGGGCACUGCCUGUGCUGGGCUUGCCUGGGGCUCACCCCUCCUUGGAGCAGCUAGCCCUCUGCACUUUGACAUGUCUAACUGGCCCGUGAUCUGGAACACCUGCUGUUGAAAACAGACCAUGACAUCCAGUGCCCGCCUUUCUUCCUAUAUGUGUUGCAUCGAUAAAGCUGUUACAAGAAGUGGAGUAGACUCUUCUGUGUACUUUGAUAAGUAAUGCACUGUGGCAGGUGUCAAAUUAUUUCUGUUAUAACUAAAGCUUUUAUUUUCUUGCUCUGUAACUAUGGGUAAGUCAUCUCA